ACUCCUACGGGUGGCUGCAGUGAGGAAUAUUGGACAAUGGGCGAAAGCCUGAUCCAGCCAUGCCGCGUGUGUGAAGAAGGCCUUUUGGUUGUAAAGCACUUUAAGUGGGGAGGAAAAGCUUAUGGUUAAUACCCAUAAGCCCUGACGUUACCCACAGAAUAAGCACCGGCUAACUCUGUGCCAGCAGCCGCGGUAAUACAGAGGGUGCAAGCGUUAAUCGGAAUUACUGGGCGUAAAGCGCGCGUAGGUGGUUAUUUAAGUCAGAUGUGAAAGCCCCGGGCUUAACCUGGGAACUGCAUCUGAUACUGGAUAACUAGAGUAGGUGAGAGGGGAGUAGAAUUCCAGGUGUAGCGGUGAAAUGCGUAGAGAUCUGGAGGAAUACCGAUGGCGAAGGCAGCUCCCUGGCAUCAUACUGACACUGAGGUGCGAAAGCGUGGGUAGCAAACAGGAUUAGAUACCCUGGUAGUCCACGCCGUAAACGAUGUCUACCAGUCGUUGGGUCUUUUAAAGACUUAGUGACGCAGUUAACGCAAUAAGUAGACCGCCUGGGGAGUACGGCCGCAAGGUUAAAACUCAAAUGAAUUGACGGGGGCCCGCACAAGCGGUGGAGCAUGUGGUUUAAUUCGAUGCAACGCGAAGAACCUUACCUGGUCUUGACAUAGUGAGAAUCUUGCAGAGAUGCAAGGGUGCCUUCGGGAAUUCACAUACAGGUGAUGCAUGGCUGUCGUCAGCUGU
rnacentral:rRNA from 1 species